CUAUGACAAACGUUGUCAUGGCGGAAGGAG
rnacentral:ncRNA from 1 species